UAUAUGUAUAACUAUUUUUUGUAAUUUCCAUUACCUCAGGCAUUAUGUUUAUAUCAGACAGAAACAAUUUACAAAUAGAUUAUUUUUAUGUGCACCUGAAGAUUCAAGUUAAAUUCAUUUAGAAUUCGGGGAAAUAUAGAUUGUUUAAAUCGAGAUAUAGAAAAUUAAGAAUUUCUUGGCAUGUCCAAAUGUCACCAUACAGUCAGAAAAUGUAACAAAUAUUGAAAUAAUGUAUUUUGUGUGUGUGAAUUUAACCCAUUCUUUCGUAAUGGUGACUUCAAUCAUGAUGUAAAGCCAGUAUCUGACUUAGUGUGAACUGGAAAUAUUCUAGUCACUUUGUGUUACGAAAUAUAAACAAAAUUGUUAGUAGUCUUUUUUUUUUGGUUUAGCUUAAUAACCAAAACUAUUUAUAGAAUAUUGAGAGACUCACUGUACAUUGUAUUUACUGUUACAUUUUCUUUUUGUUUGUUUUGCCCAGAAACUUUCAUGAUGAAUUUGUCAUAUUUUUAGUGUGUACUUGAUAUAAAACCUUUCCUAUUUCUAAGUGUGUUGGACACACUUGGGAAAGGUUUUGCUUUCGAAGCUGUGCUUGAGAAAUCAACAACAGCAGCUGUACAUUGUUGUUGGUUUAGUGAGACUUGUAUGUGUCUGAGAGUGUUAGCUGGAGUUGGGUGGGAAAGAUUGAGCUGGGUUUUUGUGUCAUGUGAUGUAUAUAUGUUGUGUUUGAUUCUCCCAGAAAUGUGAGGAAUUGAGGGAUUUUGUUAUUAUUAGUGUUACAUACAAAUAUUAUAAUGAGCCUGUUAAAAUUAAAGGCUAUGAAAACAAAA